rnacentral:ribozyme from 1 species
UGCCCAGCAACUCCUAUCCCUACCUCCUCGUGGUACUGGCCGGGGUACGAGUAACCUUGGGGAAGAUCGGGUAAACAACCCCCGGUGGGAACUUUGGUCGUAUGCUGACAGGGAAGG